GUACAUGAAUGGUCCUUACGUGAGGUAGUAGGUUAUAUAGUUUGGAGAUACACUCAAUGGCGAUAGCUAUACAGCCUGCUAGCUUUCCUUGGGCCAUUCAC